ACACAUGCAAGUCGAACGGAGUCAAGAGGAGCUUGCUUUUCUUGACUUAGUGGCGAACGGGUGAGUAACGCGUGAGUAACCUGCCCUGGAGUGGGGGACAACAGUUGGAAACGACUGCUAAUACCGCAUAAGCCCACGAUCCGGCAUCGGAUUGAGGGAAAAGGAUUUAUUCGCUUCAGGAUGGACUCGCGUCCAAUUAGCUAGUUGGUGAGGUAACGGCCCACCAAGGCGACGAUUGGUAGCCGGACUGAGAGGUUGAACGGCCACAUUGGGACUGAGACACGGCCCAGACUCCUACGGGAGGCAGCAGUGGGGGAUAUUGCACAAUGGGGGAAACCCUGAUGCAGCGACGCCGCGUGGAGGAAGAAGGUUUUCGGAUUGUAAACUCCUGUCGUUAGGGACGAUAAUGACGGUACCUAACAAGAAAGCACCGGCUAACUACGUGCCAGCAGCCGCGGUAAAACGUAGGGUGCAAGCGUUGUCCGGAAUUACUGGGUGUAAAGGGAGCGCAGGCGGACCGGCAAGUUGGAAGUGAAAACUAUGGGCUCAACCCAUAAAUUGCUUUCAAAACUGCUGGCCUUGAGUAGUGCAGAGGUAGGUGGAAUUCCCGGUGUAGCGGUGGAAUGCGUAGAUAUCGGGAGGAACACCAGUGGCGAAGGCGACCUACUGGGCACCAACUGACGCUGAGGCUCGAA
rnacentral:rRNA from 1 species